CACAGGGGGCGACAUAGGCUCCCCACCAAACCCUUGUGCAUGUCAAACUUGAUCAAAUUGAGGGUUCAAAUCAGUCCCAAAUCGAAAUCCAAGCUCGUAUUCAUGAACACCAAGUUGAAAGGAUCACAAGGUGGAAGCUUGGAGUGAAAGCGGGUCAAACAAGUCAAGCAUGGAAGAAAAGCGUAGCUCGGAUGCAAGAACACUCGCGUUUGAAGACGACGAGAGUCAAACGAAUUGUGGAUAUGAUGAUGGAACGGUCCGAAGUAUGACAAGAGGAGCAUACUCACCGAGGACUAAAUCGCGUAAUGACCGCGAACAAGGUUAAUGGCAAAGAACGCCCGUCGGGGAAAACAUUACCAGGUGCACAUUUUAAAUAAUAGCAUAAAUAGUAAUAUGCAACAAUAAGUAGGAACUUAAAGGUUGCAUAUGUAAAAUUUAAAAACUUGGAAAGACCUGAAUAGAAAACCUAUCCGGGAUAUUGUUUCCAAGAAAAACAGAUAGAGGUAUUACUUACAUAGGGCGUGAUGUGAAAACUGUAAAAAGGUCAUGCGUGUCAUGUGUUAAUCGCUUACU